CGGCUCUUAAUGCCGAACUGUGUCCCCCCCCCCCAAUGCUCCUACUGUGCGCUAUGGUUAGACGACCCCGGCCCUGGGAGCCCCACAUUGCUGCGGGGGGGGCGGGGGUGGAACGCGGGAUGGCGCCCAGAGAGAGGGAUGGCUGACCUGGAUCGGUCGCAGGGCACGUGAUCUGCGGGGAAUCAAAAGGCAAAGAACCAAGUGAGUUCAGUUCCAGAACCAUGUUGGGUGGCUCCUAACCACUUAAAAGUCCAGCUCCAGAGACACUUGGUGCCCUCCACUGGCAUCACUGGACUCAAUGAAGCUGGAGUUACAA